rnacentral:rRNA from 1 species
AUUGAACGCUGGCGGCAGGCCUAACACAUGCAAGUCGAGCGAGUGGCGGACGGGUGAGUAAUGUCUGGGAAACUGCCCGAUGGAGGGGGAUAACUACUGGAAACGGUGGCUAAUACCGCAUACCAUCGGAUGUGCCCAGAUGGGAGUAGCUAGUGGGUGGGGUAACGGCUCACCUAGGCGACGAUCCCUAGCUGGUCUGAGAGGAUGACCAGCCACACUGGACCUGAGACACGGCCCAGACGCCGACGGGAGGCAGCAGUGGUGAAUAUUGCACAAUGGGCGCAAGCCUGAUGCAGCCAUGCCGCGUGUAUGAAGAAGGCCUUAGGUUUGUAAAGUACUUUCAGCGAGGAGGCGUUACUCGCAGAAGAAGCACCGGCUAACUCCGUGCCAGCAGCCGCGGUAAUAC